rnacentral:rRNA from 1 species
GCAUUCACUUUAAAUAGGGCUCCGUCGAAAUCCGUUGAGACGACACCGUAUGAAUUAUGGUUUGGGAAGAAACCUAAGCUGUCGUUUCUAAAAGUUUGGGGAUGCGAUGCUUACGUGAAGAAACUUCAACCUGAAAAGCUCGAACCCAAAUCGGAAAAAUGCGUCUUCAUAGGAUACCCUAAAGAAACUAUUGGGUAUACCUUCUACCUCGGAUCCGAAGGCAAGAUCUUUGUUGCCAAGAAUGGAUCCUUUCUAGAGAAAGAGUUUCUCUCGAAAGAAGUAAGUGGGAGGAAAGUAGAACUUGAUGAACUAUUGCCUCUUGAACCGGAGAGUGGCGCAGCUCAGGAAAAUGUUCCUAAGGUGCCUGCACCGACUAGAGAGGAACUUAAU